UACGAAGGGGGCUAGCGUUGCUCGGAAUCACUGGGCGUAAAGCGCACGUAGGCGGGUCCUUAAGUCAGGGGUGAAAUCCCGGAGCUCAACUCCGGAACUGCCUUUGAUACUGGGGAUCUUGAGUCCGGAAGAGGUGAGUGGAACUCCGAGUGUAGAGGUGAAAUUCGUAGAUAUUCGGAAGAACACCAGUGGCGAAGGCGGCUCACUGGUCCGGUACUGACGCUGAGGUGCGAAAGCGUGGGGAGCAAGCAGG
rnacentral:rRNA from 1 species